GAUGAACGCUGGCGGCGUGCCUAAUACAUGCAAGUCGAGCGAAUGGAUUAAGAGCUUGCUCUUAUGAAGUUAGCGGCGGACGGGUGAGUAACACGUGGGUAACCUGCCCAUAAGACUGGGAUAACUCCGGGAAACCGGGGCUAAUACCGGAUAACAUUUUGAACCGCAUGGUUCGAAAUUGAAGGGCGGCUUCGGCUGUCACUUAUGGAUGGACCCGCGUCGCAUUAGCUAGUUGGUGAGGUAACGGGUCACCAAGGCAACGAUGCGUAGCCGACCUGAGAGGGUGAUCGGCCACACUGGGACUGAGACACGGCCCAGACUCCUACGGGAGGCAGCAGUAGGGAAUCUUCCGCAAUGGACGAAAGUCUGACGGAGCAACGCCGCGUGAGUGAUGAAGGCUUUCGGGUCGUAAAACUCUGUUGUUAGGGAAGAACAAGUGCUAGUUGAAUAAGCUGGCACCUUGACGGUACCUAACCAGAAAGCCACGGCUAACUACGUGCCAGCAGCCGCGGUAA
rnacentral:rRNA from 1 species